rnacentral:lncRNA from 1 species
AGGUUUCUUUUUUCUCCCUUUAGGGUUUUCUUUUUCUCUUUUUAGUUCUUCAUUUUUCAUGGCUAGUAGAAAAGCUUCUUCUUCUCGGGAUAGUCAGUCAGAGAAUCCGACCGAUGACUCUUCUUUGGAUCUAAAAAUGAAAGUUUCUUUCUUAUCCGAACUCAAUAUUGAACGGCUCCAGGAACAGUACCAUAUCUCGAAACAGUAUCAGCUUUUCGCUCCUGAUUCGGACGGUCGGAUGAAUUCUCC